rnacentral:rRNA from 1 species
AAUGAACGCUGGCGGCAGGCCUAACACAUGCAAGUCGAGCGCCCCGCAAGGGGAGCGGCGGACGGGUGAGUAACGCGUGGGAACGUGCCUCUUGCUACGGAAUAGCCUCGGGAAACUGGGAGUAAUACCGUAUGUGCCCUUCGGGGGAAAGAUUUAUCGGCAAGAGAUCGGCCCGCGUCGGAUUAGCUAGUUGGUGGGGUAAUGGCCCACCAAGGCGACGAUCCAUAGCUGGUUUGAGAGGAUGACCAGCCACACUGGGACUGAGACACGGCCCAGACUCCUACGGGAGGCAGCAGUGGGGAAUCUUAGACAAUGGGCGCAAGCCUGAUCUAACCAUGCCGCGUGAGCGAUGAAGGCCUUAGGGUUGUAAAGCUCUUUCGCUGGGGAAGAUAAUGACUGUACCCAGUAAAGAAGCCCCGGCUAACUCCGUGCCAGCCGCCGCAGUAACAC